rnacentral:rRNA from 1 species
GGGAAUUUUCCGCAAUGGGCGAAAGCCUGACGGAGCAAUCUCGCGUGAGGGAUGACGGCCUAUGGGUUGUAAACCUCUUUUUUCAGGGAGGAAUAAAUGACGUGUACCUGAAGAAUAAGCAUCGGCUAACUCCGUGCCAGCAGCCGCGGUAAGACGGAGGAUGCAAGUGUUAUCCGGAAUCACUGGGCGUAAAGCGUCUGUAGGUGGUUUAAUAAGUCAACUGUUAAAUCUUGAGGCUCAACUUCAAAAUCGCAGUCGAAACUAUUAGACUAGAGUAUAGUAGAGGUAAAGGGAAUUUCCAGUGGAGCGGUGAAAUGCGUAGAUAUUGGAAAGAACACCGAUGGCGAAAGCACUUUACUGGGCUAUUACUAACACUCAGAGACGAAAGCUAGGGUAGCAAAUGGGAUUAGAUACCCCAGUAGUCA